GAUGAACGCUGGCGGCGUGCUUAACACAUGCAAGUCGAACGGUAUCCCAGGGAUGCUUGCACCUUUUGGUGAGAGUGGCGCACGGGUGAGUAACAUGUGAGUAACCUGUCCUUUUCUUUGGGAUAAGCAUUGGAAAGGUUGCUUAAUACCUUAUGUUCUGCCUGCCUCGAAUGGGGGGGGUGGGAAAGGCUUUGGCCGGAUUUGGGUCGGCUCGCGGUGUAUCAGCUUGUUGGUGGGGUGAGGGCUUACCAAGGCUUUGACGGGUAGCGGGGGUGAGAGGGCGUUAGGGGACGGUGGGACUGAGAGAGGCUCCGGACUCGUCCAGGAGGCAGCAGUGGGGAGUAGUGGACAAUGGGGGACAGUCGGCUGCAGCCUGACGGAGCGAGGGAGGGAGGCGGUCGGGUGGUAUAGGGUUGUAAGCGGGUUUGAAGCGGAGCAAGGCAUGCCAGUGGGUUUGUGAAGUGAAGGGGUUAAUAAGCGCCGGCUAACUACGUG
rnacentral:rRNA from 1 species